rnacentral:rRNA from 1 species
UACGGAGGAUCCGAGCGUUAUCCGGAUUUAUUGGGUUUAAAGGGUGCGUAGGCGGCUUUUUAAGUCAGCGGUGAAAUUUUGCAGCUUAACUGUAACAGUGCCGUUGAUACUGGGGAGCUAGGAUUUGGUUGCUGUGGGUGGAAUGUGUGGUGUAGCGGUGAAAUGCUUAGAGAUCACACAGAAUAUCGAUCGCGAAGGCAGCUCACAAAGCCAAGAUUGACGCUGAGGCACGAAAGUGUGGGGAUCAAACAGGAUUAGA